rnacentral:rRNA from 1 species
UGGGAAUCUUGCACAAUGGGGGAAACCCUGAUGCAGCGACGCCGCGUGGGUGAUGAAGCCCUUCGGGGUGUAAAGCUCUUUCGGCAGGGACGAUAAUGACGGUACCUGCAGAAGAAGCUGCGGCUAACUACGUGCCAGCAGCCGCGGUAAUACGUAGGCAGCAAGCGUUGUUCGGAAUUACUGGGCGUAAAGAGUGCGUAGGCGGUUUGGCAAGUUUGGUGUGAAAUCUCCUGGCUUAACUGGGAGGGUGCGCCGAAAAACUGUCAGGCUAGAAGUGUGGGAGAGGAAAGCGGAAUUCCUGGUGUAGCGGUGAAAUGCGUAGAUAUCAGGAGGAACACCUGCGGUGUAGACGGUUUUCUGGACCACUACUGACGCUGAGGCACGAAAGCGUGGGGAGCAAACAGGAUUAGAUACCCUGGUAGUCCACGCCCUAAAACGAUGCGGACUUGGUGUUGGCCCUUCAUUGGGUCAGUGCCGCAGUUAACGCGGUAAGUCCGCCGCCUGGGGAGUAC